UACGAAGGGGGCGAGCGUUGUUCGGAAUCACUGGGCGUAAAGGGCGCGUAGGCGGUUUGCUAAGUUGAAUGUGAAAACUCUGGGCUUAACCCAGAGCCUGCAUUCAAUACUGGCAGGCUAGAGUUCUGGAGGGGAUAGCGGAAUUCCUGGUGUAGCGGUGAAAUGCGUAGAUAUCAGGAGGAACACCGGUGGCGAAGGCGGGUCUCUGGGCCGUAACUGACGCUGAGGAGCGAAAGCAUGGGGAGCGAACAGG
rnacentral:rRNA from 1 species